rnacentral:rRNA from 1 species
GAUGAACGCUGGCGGUGUGCCUAAUACAUGCAAGUCGAGCGAAAAGACGAGGAGCUCGCUCUCUUGCCGUUAGCGGCGGACGGGUGAGUAACACGUGGAUAACCUACCUAUAUUUCUGGGAUAACUACGGGAAAAAGGUGCCACUAAUAGAUAAUAUAACCUACCGCAUGGUUCAAUGGAGCAAGACAGCUUUCCUGUCUCUUUUAGAUGGAUCCGUGUCGCAUUAGCUAGUUGGUAAGGUAACGGCUUACCAAGGCGACGAUGCGUAGCUGACCUGAGAGGAUGAUCAGCCACACUGGAACUGAGACACGGUCCAGACUCCUACGGGAGGCAGCAGUGGGGAAUCUUCCACAAUGGGCGAAAGCCUGACGGAGCAACACCGCGUGAGUGAAGAAGGUCUUCGGGUCGUAAAGCUCUGUUAUUAGGAAAGAACAAAUGUGUAUGAAACUAUGCACGUCUUGACGGUACCUAAUCAGAAAGCAACGGCUAACUACGUG